CCUUAGCACUUGCAAGAAAAGCAAAUUAUACGUUAACCACUCAAUUCGUACAGACGGGAUUCCUGAAUGGUUUGCAAAAGAUGAAAAUGCACAAAAGUCGGUAACAUGGAACCGCACACAUGGAUUUUCGCUCCCACAGGCAUUAAUAAUUUCAAAUGCCAGGAGAAUUCGAAUAAACCAAUUUGCGUUUCGGACCAAUGUAAACUAUUAUCGCUUUAUUGGCCGCAUUGAAAAAAUAUAUGUUGAACAUCUAUGGAUUGAUUUAUGCAAUACAUGCUAUAACCAAGUUGACAAUCAGUACGGCUGGUUUAUGUGUAAACAUUGUGGUAGAGAAGAUGUGCAGACUAUA